rnacentral:rRNA from 1 species
GACGAACGCUGGCGGCGCGCCUAACACAUGCAAGUCGAACGGUGAAGAGGAGCUUGCUCCUCGGAACAGUGGCGGACGGGUGAGUAACACGUGAGCAACCUGGCUCUAAGAGGGGGACAACAGUUGGAAACGACUGCUAAUACCGCAUGACGUAUCGGGAUGGCAUCUUCCUGAUACCAAAGAUUUUAUCGCUUAGAGAUGGGCUCGCGUCUGAUUAGAUAGUUGGCGGGGUAACGGCCCACCAAGUCGACGAUCAGUAGCCGGACUGAGAGGUUGAACGGCCACAUUGGGACUGAGACACGGCCCAGACUCCUACGGGAGGCAGCAGUGGGGGAUAUUGGACAAUGGGGGCAACCCUGAUCCAGCGACGCCGCGUGAGGGAAGAAGGUUUUCGGAUUGUAAACCUCUGCUGACGGAGAAAAAAAUGAUGGUAUCCGUUUAGAAAGCCACGGCUAACUACGUG